rnacentral:lncRNA from 1 species
UCUCAUGCAACUAACAAGGUCUUAGAACACCGACUGUUCCUAAAGCAAGAGGUAAAGGAUUUAGUAGUUGAAAUCCGAGACCCAAGUUCGAAUCCUAGUUGAUUCACAUUUCCAGCUAAGUUUAUUUCUAAAUAAAAUAAACGAAGCGGGUAGCGUGCUACCUAUCUCUCUAAAAAAAAAAAAAAAAAAAACAAGGUCUUAGAACUUGCUUGUACUGAAAUCGUAUAAUGUGGAAGUUCUUUCCGUUCUUAAAUAUCGAAUUGACGAUUAUUAUCUCCAUUAAAUUUGAUUUAGAGCAUUUGAACUUCUCGAAACAUAGAUUUCGUAAUUUUUUGAUAUUGUUUACUCAGUGAUCAGAGGGGUUCAAAAAUCAAUAAUUUUAACGGUCAGUAUUAGCCGUUUGCAAGUUUAAUGGUAUAAAAUUAUUCAAAUCACAUAAAAAUUAAUAAUUUUUUUUAAUACUAUAUAAAACAAGAUCAAUAUUUUUGAUCCAAAAUUUUAAUAUUAUAGGAUCUUUUUUUAUAAAAAAAAAAUUUCACCGUUGAUUUUUAAUCCUUUUCGAUCACUAGAUAAAUAAUAUCGAAAAAUUAAAAAAUUUAUUUUUUAAUACUCCAAAUAAUCUAUAUCAUAUCUAAUAAAACGAACGUGUAAUAAAAAAUUUUACCAUUGAA